rnacentral:lncRNA from 1 species
GGGUCGGAACCUGUAGAGGGUACCUCAGCCAUCUUGAGCUUAAUCGGCACGUCCGGAGUCGGGGUUAUCUUCAUGGGUCGAGAUCGAUGUCUCGACGUAUGGGGGCCAAAUUAGGCCCUUACUCAUGAAGGUUUGCAUGAGUUGUCAUGGGGGUUAUCGGUAGAGGGAGCAUGCAUGAGGUUGGUGGGACCUUGGUCUUAGACCGACUUGUAGGGGCAACCAGGCCUUGGCCGGGAUGAGGUCCCGAUCUCAAUCGGGAUUUCGCUGGCAAUACGUAGAUAAAUAUAACAAGGCGGGCGUCAAGUGGGAUGUACCUCUUGCACCUCCGAAAUUGCGCGCCUCAUAGUGGAGUGGGUUGCCUUGUUUCCUCGCCGACCUUCGGAGUCACUUUUUGGUUCGGGGUCGAGAGAGCUUGGGCUUCCUAUGAACCUGGUGGCGCCUCCCGAGGCCGAGGGAGUUUGCGACUCUACGGUCGACUCUCGGGGCAUCUCAAACUUAGUUGAGGGAUCAUGCACGAGAUCGAGGGGGCCGGGGACGCACUCUCGACCCAUGAUGCUUUUCGAGGUCGAGGAAGUUUGGGACUCUACUGUCACGCCCCGAACCCGGAUCCGUGACACGGCCGUGCUAUUGCCAACUACCGCCCACAAUAGCACGAAGCCUCAUACAUGGGUUAUAGGGUAGUCAAACCAACCAAACCUUUAUAUAUGAAAGCAUUCUUAGUACAACAUGCUGGUCAGUACCCAAAUACAGAGCUUCUAUGUAGUUUAUGUACACAAAAGUAUACUUAUUUUACCCCAAAGGAAAGAAGCCCAGAUACCAAAUUAAAGUGUCUCCGACAGCUAUCAGUGGUGAGAAUCUGAAAGAAAAAUGUAAAUGAAUGGAUAUGAGCUACACGGCUCAGUAAGUAAUCAUACAUAAUCUUACCGGAUCAAACAUAAGAAUUCAUGCGAUUAGCAUCAUUUAAAGGAGAUAGCAGUUAUAGCAAAAUACAACAUUUCAUAAAGGAUAUAUUCAAAAACUCGUCGUAAAAUAAUGUAUGCUUUGGCCAGGCACGUUCAUAAAUGUCACGGCCCGCCUGCACAGGGCACGUGACUAUCGGGCCCACAUGAGGGAGAAACACGGGGCUCCCCUACCAGAUGUUGGCCGGUUUCGGGGUCCGUACGCGCGCGCAUGCGCCGCACUUAACCCCUCACCGAUUUUGCUUCUCCCCAAAACGCAUCUACAGGAUUUGGAAACACCCGCCUCAUAUACCCAGGCUCUGGAACGAGCCUCAUGAUUAUGCUUCAAAUAUCAUUUUCAUGCAAUAUAUCAUAAUCAUAAUUCAUACC